rnacentral:rRNA from 1 species
UCGAGCGAGUCUGCCUUGAAGAUCGGAGUGCUUGCACUCUGUGAAACAAGAUACAGGCUAGCGGCGGACGGGUGAGUAACACGUGGGUAACCUGCCCAAGAGAUCGGGAUAACACCUGGAAACAGAUGCUAAUACCGGAUAACAACAGAUGAUGCCUAUCAACUGUUUAAAAGAUGGUUCUGCUAUCACUCUUGGAUGGACCUGCGGUGCAUUAGCUAGUUGGUAGGGUAACGGCCUACCAAGGCGAUGAUGCAUAGCCGAGUUGAGAGACUGAUCGGCCACAUUGGGACUGAGACACGGCCCAAACUCCUACGGGAGGCAGCAGUAGGGAAUCUUCCACAAUGGACGCAAGUCUGAUGGAGCAACGCCGCGUGAGUGAAGAAGGGUUUCGGCUCGUAAAGCCCUGUUGUUGGUGAAGAAGGACAGGGGUAGUAACUGACCUUUGUUUGACGGUAAUCAAUUAGAAAGUCACGGCUAACUACGUGCCAGCAGCCGCGGUAAUACGUAGGUGGCAAGCGUUGUCCGGAUUUAUUGGGCGUAAAGCGAGUGCAGGCGGCUCGAUAAGUCUGAUGUGAAAGCCUUCGGCUCAACCGGAGAAUUGCAUCAGAAACUGUCGAGCUUGAGUACAGAAGAGGAGAGUGGAACUCCAUGUGUAGCGGUGAAAUGCGUAGAUAUAUGGAAGAACACCGGUGGCGAAGGCGGCUCUCUGGUCUGUUACUGACGCUGAGGCUCGAAAGCAUGGGUAGCGAACAGGAUUAGAUACCCUGGUAGUCCAUGCCGUAAACG